rnacentral:rRNA from 1 species
GAUGAACGCUGGCGGCGUGCUUAACACAUGCAAGUCGAACGAUGAAGCCCAGCUUGCUGGGUGGCUUAGUGGCGAACGGGUGAGUAACACGUGAGUAACCUGCCCUUAAUCCUGGGAUAAGCCUGGGAAACUAGGUCUACUACCGGAUAGGAGCGCCUACCGCAUGGUGGGUGUUGGCAAAAUUUAUCGGUUUUGGAUGGACUCGCGGCUUGUCAGCUUGUUGGUGAGGUAAUGGCUCACCAGGGCGACGACGGGUAGCCGGCCUGAGAGGGUGACCGGCCACACUGGGACUGAGACGCGGCCCAGACUACUACGGGAGGCAGCAGUGGGGAAGAGUGCACAAGGGGCGAAAGCCUGAUGCAGCGACGCCGCGUGAGGGAUGACGGCCUUCGGGUAGGAAACCACUUUCAGUAGAGAAGAAGCGAAAGUGACGGUACCUGCAGAAGAAGCACCGGCUAACUACGUG